CGUCAAAUCAUCAUGCCCCUUAUGACCUGGGCUACACACGUGCUACAAUGGAUAGUACAAAGGGUCGCGAAGCCGCGAGGUGGAGCUAAUCCCAUAAAACUAUUCUCAGUUCGGAUUGUAGGCUGCAACUCGCCUACAUGAAGCCGGAAUCGCUAGUAAUCGUGGAUCAGCAUGCCACGGUGAAUACGUUCCCGGGCCUUGUACACACCGCCCGUCACACCACGAGAGUUUGUAACACCCGAAGUCGGUAGGGUAACCUUUAUGGAGCCAGCCGCCGAAGGUGGGACAGAUAAUUGGGGUGAAGUCGUAACAAGGUAGCCGUAUCGGAAGGUGCGGCUGGAUCACCUCCUUUCUAAGGAA
rnacentral:rRNA from 1 species